rnacentral:misc_RNA from 1 species
CAUUACCGAGCUCAUGCCCUUACGGGUAAAGGUCCCACCCUUUGUUAUCAUUUCCUUUGUUGCUUUGCCGGGACCCCAGGCUUCCGCUACGCUAUGCGCUUCCGCUGGAAAGAGCCCGACAGGGGAACCAACAUCCUGUUUAUUACCCCCCCCUCUUAUACUAUACAAUAUUUCUAACUUUCCUCACGGAUCGGUUGGUUCAGGCCUCCACGAAGAACCCCACCAAAAGUAAUAAAAAAGUGAAUUGCUAAUUCAGUGAAUCAUUCAAUCUUUGAACUCUGAUUGCGCCCCUUGUUAUUCCGAGGGGCCUGCCCGUUCGAGCGUCAUUACAACCCUCAAGCAUUGUUUGGUGUUGGGCUCCGCUGCUAACCCACCUGGCCCUAAAAUCAGUGGCGGUGCCCUCCGGCCCUAGCCACCAGGCUUCGGCUAGGCAAUCGGUUUCGGCUGGUAAGCACCCGCCAGGGGACCCAACAUCCAGUUUUUUAGUUUGUUUUGAGUGCUUUAUAAUAGUUAAAACUUUCAAUAACGGAUGUAUUGGUUGGGGCAUGGAUGAAGAACGAAGGGAAAUGCAAUAAAUAAUGAAAAUUGCAGAAUUCAGUGAAUCAAUGAUUUUUUGAACGCACAUUCCGCCCCUUGGUAUUCCGUGGGGCAGGCAUGUUCGAGCGUCAUUCCAACCCUCAAGCAUUGCUUGGUGUUGGGAUCCGGGGCUAACAUAGCGGGCCUUAAAAACAGUGGGGGAGCCGUGGGGCCCUGAAAGUAUUAAAUUUCCUCGCUACAGGGACCCGA